rnacentral:rRNA from 1 species
GAUGAACGCUAGCGGCAGGCCUAAUACAUGCAAGUCGUACGGCAACACAGUUGCGAGCAAUCGCAACCGGUGGCGAGUGGCGCACGGGUGAGUAACGCGUAUGUAACCCUACCCUUCUCCGGGACAUAACUCCGCGAAAAGCGGUGCUAAUAUCCCAUACCAACUCAUCAAGACAUCUUCUUGAGUUGAAAGCAGCAAUGCGGUGAAGGAUGGGCAUGCGUCCCAUUAGCUGGUUGGUGAGGUAAUGGCCCACCAAGGCUACGAUGGGUAGGGGUUCUGAGAGGAAAGCCCCCCACACUGGUACUGAGACACGGACCAGACUCCUACGGGAGGCAGCAGUAAGGAAUAUUGGGCAAUGGUCGAAAGACUGACCCAGCCAUGCCGCGUGCAGGAUGAAGGCCCUAUGGGUUGUAAACUGCUUUUAGCCGGGAAUAAACACCCGUUUUAUAACGGGCCCGAAGGUACCGGCUGAAUAAGCAUCGGCUAACUCCGUG